UGGCCUAAUGGUAAAGUGCUUGGCUUCUGAACCAGGAGUCCCAGGUUCAAAUCCUGG
rnacentral:tRNA from 1 species